rnacentral:rRNA from 1 species
UACGGAGGGGGCGAGCGUUAUUCGGAAUUAUUGGGCGUAAAGGGCGCGUAGGCGGCUGAACAAGUCAAAGGUGAAAUCCCUCGGCUCAACUGAGGAACUGCCUUUGAAACUGUUCGGCUUGAGGCCGGGAGGGGGUAGCGGAAUUCCCAGUGUAGCGGUGAAAUGCGCAGAUAUCAGGAGGAACACCAAUGGCGAAGGCAGCUCGCUGGGACGGUACUGACGCUGAGACGCGAAAGCGUGGGGAGCAAACAGG